rnacentral:lncRNA from 13 species
UUACUGGCAGAGUGGCCCAAUGGUGUGCCUAAGGGGCUGAUACUACUCAGCCAGUCCUGGGACACAGAGUUCUCACAGGGGAUGAGUGAAGCAAGUACAAGUGCAAUAAUGGGCUCUGUGAGACCCACUCUUUCUGGUCCGACCUAGGUCUGUUGGUGCCAUAAUCAGAAUGAUGGUGGAGGUACCAGUGCAUUUUGAUCCUCCUUCUGUUUAUUAUAUAUAACUAAGGAGGGAUGAACGCAAUGAUGGAAAAACCCAUUCCUCUAAGGUCAAGUACUAGAAAGCAGCACCCACGUGGGCCGACUGAAGCAUGGCUUCCACAUCAAGUGUCGCCAGCCUGCCCUCCCCCCACACAGGGGAGGACCAGCCUCCUACCUGUUCCAUCCACCGAGUCAGACCUGGCCGUGGGGCCAGUUCACAGUUCUCCGGGCCCCUUGGCUCAUCACUGUUUCCUAAGAGCUCUUCCAGCCUCCUUUUAAGGCAAGAAACCUCUAUUUUAGUUCAUAGAGUUUGCCAAAGACCCCGUGAAGGUGACCUCACCCUGUGAGCCCUUUGCUGGUAGAGGGAGUUGGUAUGGGCUGGGAGACAGAGUGUAUGCCUAGGACCCCAAGGGCCUGGGUGGUACCAUCUACCAGACAUUGGUCAGGAACACAGCUGGGGUGUCUGGCCAAGGACUCCCCGCUUGCUAAGCUGUGUGCCCUGGUGGGGGGCUGCAUCCUCCCAGAGGCUCACCUUCUAAUUCACACAAAGCAACUCUAAGAGCGAGGUCCAGCCUUGCUUGGGGAAGUCAAAUUAUCUGUUUGAGCCUCAGUUUCCUUACCUGUAAAACAAGGAAGAUAACAGUGGAGGUACCAAGGAAGUGCUUAGAAAGAUUUAGAUAUUUUGUUUUUCUUUUUUUGAGAUGGAGUUUCGCUCUGUUGCCCAGGCUGGAGUAUAGUGGCAUGAUCUCGGCUCACAGCAACCUCCACUUCCUGAAUUCAAGUGAUUCUCCUGCCUCAGCCUCCUGAAUAGCUAAGAUUAAAAGCAUGCGCCAUCAUGCCUGGCUGAUUUUUGUAUUUUCAGUAGGGACGAGGUUUCGCCAUAUUGGCCAGGCUGGUCUCGAACUCCUGACCUCAAGUGAUCCUCCCGCCUCCGCUUCCCAAAGUGCUUGGAUUAUAGGCAUGAACCACCACGCCUGACCAGAAGUCCUCAGAAAUAUUUGAAUGAAUGGAUGAAUGAAUGAAUGAUGCCCAUCUUACUGGUCUGUGGCUUACACUGCACCCUCACCCCUCGGGUACUCAGUGAAGAAUCACUUUCUUCUCAUUUUACCUCCUUCUCUUUCUUAGGUCAAACGAAGAAACAACUGCUGCAUUUGUCCUUCCUCGGGCACUGGGGCCCUGAGUCUGUCUUGAAUUUCCUUCUCUCUCUGCAGCAGGCUCUGCGCCAGGAGCAUCCUCAGCAGUUCCCACCACCAAGGUGAAGAUGAAAGGCAGGUGGCUGCGCGUGGAGGCAGAGGAGGCUUGUGGGCCUCUGGGCCUGGCCAGCUGUCUUGGCCGUGGGCUGGGGUAGGAGCUGUGCUGUCCCCGUGCCCCUCCCCAGUGAAGGCAAUUCAAAGCCAUGACAGAGGAGGAGAGUGAGUCGUCUCCCAUUCAGUAGCUGCAGCGGGCCUGUUACAUCACAGUUCACACACCCAGCUGCCUGUCACCCACCCAGACAACGCCCCAGCCCAGCCCCUGCCCUGGUGCGGUGACUCAUCACUGCCGCCUCUUCCAAACAGCUGGCGGGCCCCGUCUUGCCGCAGCUGGCUGGCACCUUGGGCUCCUGUUCUUAGCAGGAUCACUGCAGGGAAUGUGGCAUGCGCAGCCUCGCCGUCUCCCAAGGUGAGGUGGCCCAGGGUGGUCAGUGUCUGCGGGUGCUGCCGACCAGUGCCAGGGGUCCAGGGUCAGCCUCAGACUGUCACUGUAAAAUUGCACCUGUGGGCUGUGCAGUUAAACAGCUCUGCCACCUAUUAGCUGAGACUUUGGACACGUUUCCUAGCAUCUGAGCCUCGGUUUUAGCUGCUGUAAAAUGGGAAUAAUAAUGACACCUACUGCUCAUGGUGUCUUAAGAUAACGCUUAUAAAGCCCUCAGUGCCACAAUCUUGAUGCAGAAUAAGAAAUUAAUAAUAAAAUAGUGCGAUUGCUUUCA